rnacentral:rRNA from 1 species
AGGGAGAGUGGCAAACGGGGAGGAAAGGGGAAGGGACAUACCAUUGAGUCAGGAAUAACUGCGGCCAAAAGAAGAUAAUACCUGAUAGUUCUCUACGGAGUAAAGAUUUAUCGCUCAAUGAUUGGCCUGCUCGUUCUCUUCACAAGAAGGUAGUGUAAUGGACUACCAAUAAUAAAAUGACGCCUAGGGGAGGUGAGAGCCUGACCCCCACCAUUGGAACUGCGACACGGUCCAAACUCCUAACGGGAGGCUGCAGUCGAGAAUCUUCCGCAAUGCACGAAAGUGUGACGGAGCGACGCCGCGUGAUGGAUGAAGUCCCUCGGGAUGUAAACAUCUUUUAUACGUGAAGAAGUAUAUUGACUUUUUUUUUUUGAAUAAAAGGUUCCUAAACUCGUGCCAGCAGGAGCGGUAAUACGAGUACCUCAAGCGUUUAUCCGGAAUUAUUGGGCGUAAAGGGUCCGUAGGUGGUUAUAUUAGACAGAUGUGAAAGAAUCCGAGCUCAACUCGGGGGGCCGCAUUUGAAACGGUAUAACUUGAGUGUGCGGAGAGGUUAGCAAAAACUCAUGGGGGUAGGGGGUGGAAAAUCCGUUUGAAAUCAUGGGUAAAUACCAAAAACCAAAG